rnacentral:rRNA from 1 species
GAUGAACGCUGGCGGCGUGCCUAAUACAUGCAAGUCGAGCGAACAGACGAGGAGCUUGCUCCUCUGACGUUAGCGGCGGACGGGUGAGUAACACGUGGAUAACCUCCCUAUAAGACUGGGAUAACUUCGGGAAACCGGAGCUAAUACCGGAUAAUAUAUUGCACCGCAUGGUUCAUUAGUGAAAGACGGUUUUGCUGUAACUUAUAGCUGGAUCCGCGCCGCAUUGGCUAGUUGGUACGGUAACGGCUUUGCACGGCAACGAUGGGUAGCCGACCUGCGUGGGGGAUCGGCCACACGGGAAGGGAAACAGGGACCAUGGGCCUGCGGUAGGCAGCAGUAGGGUAUCGUCCGCAGUGGUCGAAAGCCUGACAGAGCAAGGCCGCGUGAGUGAUAGAGGUCUUCCGAGCGUAAAGCUCGGUUAUGGGUGGAGAACAAAUGUGUAAUUAACUAUGCACGUCGUGACGGUACCUAAUCAGAAAGCCACGGCUAACUACGUG